rnacentral:rRNA from 1 species
AAACGACUCUCGGCAACGGAUAUCUCGGCUCUCGCAUCGAUGAAGAACGUAUCGAAAUGCGAUACUUGGUGUGAAUUGCACAAUCCCGUGAAUCAUCGAGUCUUUGAACGCAAGUUGCGCCCGAAGCCUUUUGGCCGAGGGCACGUCUGCCUGGGUGUCACGC